rnacentral:rRNA from 1 species
GACGAACGCUGGCGGCGUGCUUAACACAUGCAAGUCGAACGGAAAGGCCUUUUCGGAGGUACUCGAGUGGCGAACGGGUGUGUAACACGUGGGUGAUCUGCCCUGCACUCUGGGAUAAGCCUGGGAAACUGGGUCUAAUACCGGAUAGGACCGCACUUUAGUGUGUGUGGUGGAAAGUUUUUUCGGUGUAGGAUGAGCCCGCGGCCUAUCAGCUUGUUGGUGGGGUAAUGGCCUACCAAGGCGGCGACGGGUAGCCGGACUGAGAGGUUGGUCGGCCACAUUGGGACUGAGAUACGGCCCAGACUCCUACGGGAGGCAGCAGUGGGGAAUAUUGCACAAUGGGCGCAAGCCUGAUGCAGCGACGCCGCGUGGGGGAUGACGGCCUUCGGGUUGUAAACUCCUUUCGCCAGGGACGAAGCGUUUUGUGACGGUACCUGGAGAAGAAGCACCGGCUAACUACGUG